rnacentral:rRNA from 1 species
AGAGUUUGAUCCUGGCUCAGAACGAACGCUGGCGGCGUGGAUAAGACAUGCAAGUCGAACGAGAGAAUUGCUAGCUUGCUAAUAAUUCUCUAGUGGCGCACGGGUGAGUAACACGUGAGUAACCUGCCCCCGAGAGCGGGAUAGCCCUGGGAAACUGGGAUUAAUACCGCAUAGUAUCGAAAGAUUAAAGCAGCAAUGCGCUUGGGGAUGGGCUCGCGGCCUAUUAGUUAGUUGGUGAGGUAACGGCUCACCAAGGCGAUGACGGGUAGCCGGUCUGAGAGGAUGUCCGGCCACACUGGAACUGAGACACGGUCCAGACACCUACGGGUGGCAGCAGUCGAGAAUCAUUCACAAUGGGGGAAACCCUGAUGGUGCGACGCCGCGUGGGGGAAUGAAGGUCUUCGGAUUGUAAACCCCUGUCAUGUGGGAGCAAAUUAAAAAGAUAGUACCACAAGAGGAAGAGACGGCUAACUCUGUGCCAGCAGCCGCGGUAAUACAGAGGUCUCAAGCGUUGUUCGGAAUCACUGGGCGUAAAGCGUGCGUAGGCUGUUUCGUAAGUCGUGUGUGAAAGGCGCGGGCUCAACCCGCGGACGGCACAUGAUACUGCGAGACUAGAGUAAUGGAGGGGGAACCGGAAUUCUCGGUGUAGCAGUGAAAUGCGUAGAUAUCGAGAGGAACACUCGUGGCGAAGGCGGGUUCCUGGACAUUAACUGACGCUGAGGCACGAAGGCCAGGGGAGCGAAAGGGAUUAGAUACCCCUGUAGUCCUGGCAGUAAACGGUGCACGCUUGGUGUGCGGGGAAUCGACCCCCUGCGUGCCGGAGCUAACGCGUUAAGCGUGCCGCCUGGGGAGUACGGUCGCAAGGCUGAAACUCAAAGAAAUUGACGGGGGCCCGCACAAGCGGUGGAGUAUGUGGUUUAAUUCGAUGCAACGCGAAGAACCUUACCUAGGUUUGACAUCUGGGGAACCCUCCCGAAAAGGAGGGGUGCCCUUCGGGGAGCCCCAAGACAGGUGCUGCAUGGCUGUCAUCAGCUCGUGUCGUGAGAUGUUGGGUUAAGUCCCGCAACGAGCGCAACCCCUAUGCAUAGUUGCCAGCAGGUAAAGCUGGGCACUCUAUGCAGACUGCCCGGGUUAACCGGGAGGAAGGUGGGGACGACGUCAAGUCAUCAUGGCCCUUACACCUAGGGCUACACACGUACUACAAUGGCACGCACAAAGGGCAGCGAUACCGUGAGGUGGAGCCAAUCCCAAAAAACGUGUCCCAGUCCGGAUUGCAGUCUGCAACUCGACUGCAUGAAGUCAGAAUCGCUAGUAAUUCGAGGUCAGCAUACUCGGGUGAAUGCGUUCCCGGGCCUUGUACUCACACCGCCCGUCA